rnacentral:rRNA from 1 species
GAGGGAAAGUUGAAAAGAACUUUGAAGAGAGAGUUCAAUAGUACGUGAAACCGUUUAGAGGUAAACGGAUGGGACCGCAAGUCUCCCCUUUGAAUUCAACCCGUCGCUCGGCAGCGGCGUGGGAAGUCCGAUCCUCGUGGACGGGCCCUCGCGUCGGCCGUCGUCGGUGGGCGCCUUUUCUUGGGGGCAAAUGCCAGGACCGGUUCGAGGGUGGCGAUAAACCGUUUGCUCAAGGUAGCUGCUACUCCUUCGGGGGUAGUUGUGUUUAGGAGCUGAGCGGAGGCGGCCGCACUCUCGGACCGAGGAACACCCGCCGUGGCACGGGCCCCGGCCCCUCGUAGCUCGUUCGACCUGCGUGGACUGUUCACAGUGCUCGCUAACUGCUUGCUGCGACGUGGGUCGGCUCUCCCGUGUCAACUCAGGGUCUCUGGAUAAUCGGUCGGCACCCCAUCCGACCCGUCUUGAAACACGGACCAAGGAGUCUAACAUAUACGCGAGUCAUUGGGUGGCAAACCUACGGGCGCAAUGAAAGUGAAGGCAGGCUUCCGUCUGCCCAGGUAGGAUCCCUGCUCCUCGGAGUGGGGCGCACUACCGGCCCGUCUCGAUCUCUUGUAGAUGAGGCGGAGCAAGAGCGUACACGUUGGGACCCCA